UACGGAGGGAGCUAGCGUUGUUCGGAAUUACUGGGCGUAAAGCGCACGUAGGCGGCUUUUUAAGUCAGGGGUGAAAUCCCGGGGCUCAACCCCGGAACUGCCCUUGAAACUGGAGAGCUAGAAUCUUGAAGAGGCGAGUGGAAUUCCGAGUGUAGAGGUGAAAUUCGUAGAUAUUCGGAAGAACACCAGUGGCGAAGGCGACUCGCUGGACAAGUAUUGACGCUGAGGUGCGAAAGCGUGGGGAGCAAACAGG
rnacentral:rRNA from 1 species